rnacentral:rRNA from 1 species
CGGAGCAUGCGGAUUAAUUCGAUGCAACGCGAAGAACCUUACCAAGGCUUGACAUACACCGGUAACGCCAGAGAUGGGUGCCCCUUUGUGGUCGGUGUACAGGUGGUGCAUGGUUGUCGUCAGCUCGUGUCGUGAGAUGUUGGGUUAAGUCCCGCAACGAGCGCAACCCUUGUCUUUAAUUGCCAUCAUUGAGUUGGGCACUUUAAAGAGACUGCCGGUGUUAAACCGGAGGAAGGCGGGGAUGACGUCAAGUCCUCAUGGCCCUUACAUCCCGGGCUACACACGUGCUACAAUGGCAGGUACAGAGGGCUGCGAAGCCGCGAGGUGGAGCGAAUCCCAGAAAACCUGUCUCAGUCCGGAUUGAAGUCUGCAACUCGACUUCAUGAAGGCGGAAUCGCUAGUAACCGCGAAUCAGCAGGUCGCGGUGAAUACGUUCCCGGGCCUU